UACAGGGGGUGCAAGCGUUAUUCGGAAUUAUUGGGCGUAAAGAGCGUGUAGGUGGUUUACUAAGUUUGGUGUGAAAGCCCUGGGCUCAAUCCAGGAAGUGCAUUGAAUACUGGUAGACUAGAGUAGAGGAGAGGAUGGCGGAAUUCCAGGUGUAGAGGUGAAAUUCGUAGAUAUUCGCAAGAACACCAGUGGCGAAGGCGGCUCACUGGCCCGGUACUGACGCUGAGGUGCGAAAGCGUGGGGAGCAAACAGG
rnacentral:rRNA from 1 species